rnacentral:rRNA from 1 species
AUGUAUACAUCUAAACAACCUUUUCUUAAAUCUAAGCAACCCUUUAGUAAAUCCAAGCAAACUUUUAAUAAAUCCAAGCAACCCUUUCGUAAAUCCAAGCAAACUUUUUGUAAAUCUAAACAACCUUUUCGUAGGCGUCCUUGGAUUGGCCCGGGAGAUCGAAUUGAUUAUAGAAACAUGAGUUUAAUUAAUAUAUUUAUUAGUGAACAAGGAAAAAAAUUAUCGAUUUCGUUCCGUCUGACUUCGACUUUAAAUUAUACGACGAUCGAUAUAAAAUAA